UACGGAAGGCAGCAGUGGGGAAUAUUGCACAAUGGGCGCAAGCCUGAUGCAGCCAUGCCGCGUGUAUGAAGAAGGCCUUCGGGUUGUAAAGUACUUUCAGUCGUGAGGAAGGUGUUAAGGUUAAUAACCUUAGCAAUUGACGUUAGCGACAGAAGAAGCACCGGCUAACUCCGUGCCAGCAGCCGCGGUAAUACGGAGGGUGCGAGCGUUAAUCGGAAUUACUGGGCGUAAAGGGCACGCAGGCGGUUAAUUAAGUUGGAUGUGAAAUCCCCGGGCUUAACCUGGGAAUGGCAUUCAAGACUGGUUAGCUAGAGUCUUGUAGAGGGGGUAGAAUUCCAUGUGUAGCGGUGAAAUGCGUAGAGAUGUGGAGGAAUACCGGGUGGCGAAGGCGGGCCCCUGGGACAAAGGACUGACGCUCAUGUGCGAAAGCGUGGGGAGCAAACAGGAUUAGAUACC
rnacentral:rRNA from 1 species